UACGUAGGGUGCGAGCGUUAAUCGGAAUUACUGGGCGUAAAGCGUGCGCAGGCGGUCUGUUAAGACAGAUGUGAAAUCCCCGGGCUCAACCUGGGAACUGCAUUUGUGACUGCAUGGCUAGAGUACGGUAGAGGGGGAUGGAAUUCCGCGUGUAGCAGUGAAAUGCGUAGAUAUGCGGAGGAACACCGAUGGCGAAGGCAAUCCCCUGGACCUGUACUGACGCUCAUGCACGAAAGCGUGGGGAGCAAACAGG
rnacentral:rRNA from 1 species